UACAUGAGUAGUAAGCGUUAAUCGUCUUGACUGAGCGUACAGCGUGGUUAGACGGCUAAAGAACUUCAGGUACGCAAACGGGUGUACUGGAAACCUGAGGUAAAAGAGCAAGCACUUAUCCCGUGUACACUGAAAUUGUAAAUUAGUGAUAAAAUGCUGAAAGUUUACAAGUACAACCGUGUCGAAGGUAGUGGCCAGGGAUUCGUGACAGUUAACCCACGAAGGUGAGGGCAUCGAUGAGGAUUUGACACCCUAGUAGUCCACACAGUAAAAUAUGAGUGUUAUUGAUAUAAGCUAACGUAGAAACACUCCGCUUGGGUAGUACAGUCGCAAGGUUGAAACUUAACAGAAUUGGCGGGAACUUUGUUAAACGGUGGAACAUGUGGUUUAAUGCGAUAAUCCACGCAAAACCUUACCAGCGAACAGGUACUUUCUUUAACUUUUAUAAAGCAACUUUUAGAGAAGAAUGCUAAAAGUACCUGAGGUAUUGCAUGGCUGUCGUCAGUCCGUGCUUUGAAGUGUAGAAUUAAUUUUUUUUAACGGACGCAACCCUUGCCUUCAGAUUAUACUGGGGGUAUGGUCUAUACUUGUCAGCCAAUUGAUAAAGUAUGGGCCUUAGGAAGGAGGCUGAAGUCAAGUCCUUAUGGUCCUUAUACGCUGGGCUACACACGUGUUACAAAGGUGGUGACAAACGGAAGCAAAGGUGCAAGCCUAAGCAAUCUGGAAAAUCCACCUCAGUUCAGAUUGUCUUCUGAAACUCGAAGGCAUGAAGUCGAAAUCGUUAGUAAUCGUGGAUUAGCAAGCUACGGUGAAUUUUUUUGAAGUUCUGCACACACUGCCCAUCACGCUCAGAGCGCUGGCCAUCCUGGAAAUUAGUUAGUGGUUGACGGUCUUUUUAUAUAAGAAAUUCCGAUUAAAAACAAGAUCUAACGGUGAACGGGCGGUCGGUUAUUCGAGUGAAG
rnacentral:rRNA from 1 species